UGCCCCCACAGCCCUGUUAGGAAUAGGAGGAGAACCUCGUCCCAACCUGAGCUGAAAUUGACUACAUCAGGGAUAGGAGGGGAACCUCGUCCUGAUGCCAACUAAGAUCCGAUCAUUCAGGAUCUGAUAAGAAAAAAGAGAACCUUCUCGAUGGCCCCUCUACGCUCCCACGACCCUGUAAAAAGUUGGGGAGAACCCUUACUUAAAAAAAGGAGGG
rnacentral:lncRNA from 1 species